AUGCAAGAGAACAUUUGUGACUGCUCGGCGCGCGCAAAAUACUGUUUAAUCAUUUAUGUGAACUAUUUAAAUAGUUCAAUUGUCGUUGACAGUGAUGCUCUAUUUUGCAAGCAGGGGAAGCCAGAAGCCGAGAGCAGCAGGUCAUGCAGAUGCGAGUGCCCUGCUUUGAUAUGGCUCUUUCGGGCUUCUAAUAGUUUGUAUGUAACAGAGCACCAUGUAAACCACAACCAUUCCAUGUCUCACCAUGGGCCAAGGGAAAACAAUGUAAACCUCGGGAAGGUGUACAACAUUAUUGGAAGCGUCUUCAGCUCGGUUGAGAAGGUGUUGUUCACAAAGAGGGCGCUCAUGAACAUAUGGUGUAAGAUAAGCCGAGAGCGAGCUGAUGAUGAUGUUAGAAAGACGUUGGAAGUGUUCGCAGACAUUGUUGCAGGGGACCCAGACUUUACAUAUUCUUGCUGA
rnacentral:rRNA from 1 species